ensembl:lncRNA
AAAUAAUAAUAAUAAUAAACAACUGCACAUAAUGCAUCUGACAUAUCAGACAUAAAAAGUUUGUUGUUUCUAUGUUCAAUAUAACUUAAGAUGUUCUCACUGCAGUUUCAACAGAAACAUCCACUCAGAAAGAUUCGCAAAUAGACACAUGUAAGUAAAGUUUAGUGCACAAUUAAAACAAACAAAAAAAAAACAACAAAAACAAAACAACAACAACAAAAACGAAAAGAAAGUUUAUUCAUUUAGCUAAUUAUUUUACCAUUUCAGUUUCAGCAACAAUAGCUGUCACUUUCACAACAGCAUCACCCAGAACAGGUAACUUUUCUAUCUUUUCUAAAUAUCAGCAAUCUGCAAUAUUACUCUAUAACACACAUAGAUAUGGACUGAAGUUUUGGUUUUGUUUUGACACAGGCACAUGGUUUAUAGUGCUGGUUUCCAUUGGUGUUGCUGUAUUCUUGUCUGGACUCACGGGACUCAUCUGUCUGUGCUGGUUUGCAAGUCAAAAAAGAAGAAAACUAUUAAUAAAAACUGAAGUGCCCAGUCAAGGAGUUGCUAUGAGUUGUUCUGGACCUGCAGAGAUAUAUUCUCUUAUCACUUCUGUACCAGAAACAUCUCAGCCCAUAUCUGGAGACCUCGAACACCCAGAAUCACAUCAGGACAGCACAGCAGAUCCCACAGACACUCACUCUUUCAUUAUGUCUGAAAAUUCAAUAUACCAGCCAUCAGAUGUUUUGGUCAACAAACAGAAACAGGGUAAUGCAGAGGAAAAUGAGAAUGUUUAUCACCUGUACUCCAUGAUCCCUGACAAACCAGUUCACUCAAACGCAGAAGAUCACGUGUACAGUCUGGUGAAGAUGCACUGAUGAAUCUCAUGUCUGUGUUCAUUAAUUAUAGCGACUAUAAAUAACUUGUCUUUACUUUCAGACAAAGCAGUAGUUGUUUAUUAUUUUUAUGAUUCAGUUUUUGGUGUGGAAUAUACUGUGACUUCAUUGAAUAUCUAGAGCAUCUUCUUUGGCAGUCCAACUGGUACAGUACCACUAGUGGAGCUUGGGCAUUCAGUAAGACCUGAACUAAAAUUUUGAUGAUAAAUGAAAAUGUUUUACUUCUUUUCUGAUGAAAUUGAACCAUCUGAAGGUUUGAACCAAAUCUUUUUUUUCUUAUUAGUUUUCUGUAUAUUUAAAAAAAAAAAAUGCUUAAAUCAGAUUUUCAAGGUCCAUCAUGUGACGUAAACUUCUCCUCCCACAAAACCCAGCCAAUUACGUCAGAGAUUUGUUUUGUUAGUAACUCUGAAUGGUCUGUACUCUAUAUGCUUUAAGAAUCAUCCCCAAACUUUUUUUUUUUUCAAUGUUUCAGGCCUCUAAAACUAUUAUAUCAGAUAUUAUUGUAUAUGCUCUAUGAUGCACAUAUACUGUAUGUAAAUGUUACAUUGCAUAUGGAUGUAAAUAUGAAUCAUGAUCUAUUCUUUCAUCUACAUGAAAAUGAAGAGUAUGUUGUAAGGUUUCUGUGGUCUGAAACUACUUCCUAAUUCACCCAUUGUGUAAGGCUCAUUCUGUGUGUUUUCUCUCUGUAAUGGAGUUGUUCCUCAUAGUUUUUCUACUCUUUGUGGAGGUUCAGUCUUACACAUCUCCUACUGUAAAAGUAUCUCCAGAUGUCAUAAGAGAGUCCAGCUCAGUGAAGAUCAGCUGUGAGACGCCAGCUGUUCCUGUGGAUCUGUGUUAUUUCUACAUAAACAGUAAGGAGAAGAAUGUAAAAACCAGAUGGAGAUGUGAGCUGGAUCUCACUGGUGCUGAAGUGUUCAGAUGGGCAGCUGUAAAAUCACCUGGAUCACUCAACAUUAUCUGUUACUACACAAUACAGGGGAUUAUUAAAACAUCACCUCAUUCUCCUCCUGCCACAGUGACGGUUUGA